AUGAGGGGCGGCUGGAGGUGCCGGGUUCCGGCUCUGUCCCCACUUGGUGAUUUCUCAGGGCGAUGCCAGAGGAAUCCGCCUGCUGCGAGGGGCAAUCUUUUGUCUUGGGCAAGGCAGGCUGGAUCCCAGCCUUCUCAAGCUAGCUCUUUCCUGACCGUGUUCACGAAGCUGCCACACCCGCUUUCUCCUGGAAGGAAGGACGCCCAGACAGCAACUUGGCCUGAUGUUACUCCUGCCAGGGUCUGGGGUGGGGUCUGGGUGUGUGUCCCGGGAGGCCAGCCCUUCCCUCACUUCUCUCCGUGGGCCAGAACCCGGCCGGGGUCCCCGUGCUUCCUCCUCGGUUUGGGAAGGGGCCAGCCUGACUCUCUGCAGAGACCAGUGCCCAGAAUGGGGGGUGGGUGGCAGGGGGCCUCAGGGGACCCUCGCUGGUUAGCAGCAGACCCUCGCCCUGCACUGGCUCCUGCUCCAGGAACGCCAAAAAAAAGAGGCAAUCUGGGUCGGGAGGGCAGCUACCCGGUGCUGCCCCAGGGCUCAACCCAAGUGUGGGGGCUCAGGGAUUGGUCACCCCCACCCUCACCCCAAGAACGCACCCGUCUUAGCGAGGGGAUCACACUUGUCCAGGUUCACCCAGCUGAGAACCGGAUCCUGACAGCUGAGCCAGGAUCCUCAUCAUUUCACUGCCAGACUGGCUCCUUUCUUCCUAGAAGUCCGCCCACCUUCGCAGGAGGCCAGCUGCUGGGAACACAGCCCACCCACUCCCCCCUAGAGGGCGUGGCCCAGGAAGGAGUUCAAGGCAGGGUCAGGGGACCCCGCAGCCAGCGUGGAGGCGGCGCCACCCAGGGCCGGGUCUGGCCGCGUCCCCUUUCCUCUCUCCCACCUACUAUGUCACAUAUUCCAUCUCCGACGCCAGGGUUUGCCCUCUGGGCAGCUGCCAGUGGCAGGCCUUUGGGUUACAGAACAGGGGAAUCCCGGCUUUUGUGUGCGAUCGGGGGCUUUCCUGCGGGUCCCUGCCCAGGGCACAGGACAGGAAGGGGCUCUGGGCGAGUCUCCGGCCUGUGUGCCUCCCGCCUCGAGUUCUCCUCCAGGGCCGCUUCUUGGACCGAGAGGGCGCCGGACGAGUCCGCCUAG
rnacentral:lncRNA from 1 species